rnacentral:rRNA from 1 species
GACGGGGACCCGCACAAGCGGUGGGAUGAUGUGGAUUAAUUCGAUGCAACGCGAAAAACCUUACCUACCCUUGACAUGUACGGAACCCUGCUGAGAGGUGGGGGUGCUCGAAAGAGAGCCGUAACACAGGUGCUGCAUGGCUGUCGUCAGCUCGUGUCGUGAGAUGUUGGGUUAAGUCCCGCAACGAGCGCAACCCUUGUCAUUAGUUGCUACGCAAGAGCACUCUAAUGAGACUGCCGGUGACAAACCGGAGGAAGGUGGGGAUGACGUCGAAGUCCUCAUGGCCCUUAUGGGUAGGGCUUCACACGUCAUACAAUGGUCGGUACAGAGGGUUGCCAAGCUGCGAGGUGGAGCCAAUCCCAGAAAGCCGAUCGUAGUCCGGAUCGCAGUCUGCAACUCGACUGCGUGAAGUCGGAAUCGCUAGUAAUCGCGAAUCAGCCAUGUCGCGGUGAAUACGUUCCCGGGUCUU